AACGUAGGUUCCGAGCGUUAUCCGGAUUUACUGGGCAUAAAGCGCGUGUAGGCGGUUCGGUAAGUCCGCUGUGAAAGUCGGGGGCUCAACCCUCGAAAGCCGGUGGAUACUGUCGAACUAGAGUGCGGAAGAGGCGAGUGGAAUUCCUGGUGUAGCGGUGAAAUGCGCAGAUAUCAGGAGGAACACCAAUUGCGAAGGCAGCUCGCUGGGACGUUACUGACGCUGAGACGCGAAAGCGUGGGGAGCAAACAGG
rnacentral:rRNA from 1 species